GACGAACGCUGGCGGCGCGCCUAACACAUGCAAGUCGAACGAGCGAGAUAGAGCUUGCUUUCUCGAGCGAGUGGCGAACGGGUGAGUAACGCGUGAGGAACCUGCCUCGAAGAGGGGGACAACAGUUGGAAACGACUGCUAAUACCGCAUAAGCCCACGACUCGGCCUCGGGUAGAGGGAAAUGUAGCAAUCCGCUUUGAGAUGGCCUCGCGUCCGAUUAGCUAGUUGGUGAGGUAACGGCCCACCAAGGCGACGAUCGGUAGCCGGACUGAGAGGUUGAACGGCCACAUUGGGACUGAGACACGGCCCAGACUCCUACGGGAGGCAGCAGUGGGGAAUAUUGCACAAUGGGGGAAACCCUGAUGCAGCGACGCCGCGUGGAGGAAGAAGGUCUUCGGAUUGUAAACUCCUGUUGUGGAGGAAGAUAAUGACGGUACUCAACAAGGAAGUGACGGCUAACUACGUG
rnacentral:rRNA from 1 species